UUGAACUCCUGGGAUCAAGAGAUCCUCCUGCCUCAGCCUCUCAAGUAGCUAGUACCACAGGUAUAUGUCACCAUAUCUUGCUUCUAAAGACCACAGAUUAGGAGAUUCCCUUUUCUCUUCCUCUGAAUAUUGGUGUUGGGGAUUGAACCCACAGCCUUGAGCAUGCUGAGCACACACUCUACUAGUGACCUCUAGCCUUCUGUGAUGAUUCUGUGUUACCAACUGAAGGCUUAGUUAAACUUCCAUGUUUCUAUGUCAAAGGGAGAACUCCUAAUCCACACUUUGAUCCAGUAUUGUUGUCUGAGGACUUGAAAGCAUCUACUAAACACUAUCCAGUAGAAAUACAAUGUGAGCCGUGAACACAAGCUUUACUUUUCUGAUGGCAACCUUAACAACAACAACAACAACAACAAGAAAACAGCUUGGUAACAAGAGACUAUCAACCCGGAUAAAAGGGCAUGUCCUCCUAUCGGCUCUGCUCUCCCAGGAUGCACAGGGUGAUUUUCCUAAGAGGUCAAACAGGGUAAAAUACUGUCUCCCCUAUCCUCAACGUGGCCUUGAGUUUGCUUGGUAAACCUAUUAUCAUUGAACGGUGGCUGCACAUGCUUCUUGCCUGGCUGCUUUGUGAACUUGGCAUUGGGGCCGCAGCUGCUUCUAAACACCUAUUUUCAAAUCUGGUUCAUUUACAGGAAUUGGGAUUAACCUUCUCAUCGGCAAAGCCAAGAGGCCCUGGGACCUUUCAGAGAGCCUGCACACCUCUUCUUCGCCGAGUCUUUUGCAAUACACUCUUGUUCACUGGUCUAUGGGAGAUUCUCUGUGAGAGGCAGGAGCUGCUGAAGGUUUUCUGAGGACAAGUGCCCUCCCUCAAAGUGUGCACCUCAGAAAUUCAACAAUGAAUUUACUUCAGCUCAAAGACUUGUCUCUCUCUCAGCAAAAUACUUGGAGUCACUUUUAGGGAAUUUACUUGAAAUCAUGUGCUACAUUUUACUUGCUUGUUCUAAUUCUUCUCUACUGAUUAAUUAAAAGACUAUUAAGAAUUCUACCAGUUUGGCCAAGGGAAUUCUUCAAAGAUCUGAGAGAGGGGACAUGACAAGUUGAAAAGAAAGCAGAAGUAGCUUUGGUCUCUAAAACCUCCCCAGGGAGAACUUAGAAGAGUUGGGAUGGAGGAAAAAUAAUAAAGGAGAACUAGAGUUGAGAAUGACAGAUCUAAGUUAAGACUAAGGUGAGAGCAGACCAGAGUGUGUGACUUUCUUGACUCAUGAGAAUCGAGAAUCAGGUGAGAAUUUCUCAGGAGCCCAUCCAGCCUCAUCUGGGUCACCUACCCUGGGGAACCCACUCCCCCACCCACCACAAGGCUCAUCUAACAUUGGUGGGAAUUCUACCAAACAGCCGUGAAGUUUUUGCCUGUGGCCAGACUCCCUCUGGUGGAUGGGUCUGUAAAUGCGGAAAGAAUAGUCCUGGGGCUCCUACAUUAGCAACCUCUAGAUAAAUGGAAGAAGAACUUGCUUUCCAAAAGGAACCCCCUCCUUGAGCCUGGGGAAGGUGGCCUCCACACUACCACAGAAAAUUUUGCUUACGAAAAUUUCUGUUAUGGAAAACUGAAUUUGAAACAGAACCCAGUUUUCUGGGGAACCAGGAGGAAGUCUAAAUUUCCUCUGUGGGAAUACAGACAUUUAUCAGAACAGUGUGGUCAGAGAAUAAUUCUGCAUCAAUGUUCAUUUCUCUCUCUCUCCAUAUUUCCCACUCAGGCCGUCCGACACCAUCUUCUGUAGACCCUGGUCUUUGGUUUGUAUGUUCCCAAAGCCUAAAUCGAGGCUGAAUCUAUCAUGAGCCAAUAUCCCCGAGUGACCAACAGAGGCUGAGAGGGGAGACGGUUUCCUCCAAGAGGAGGUGAAUUUUGUAAAAGAAUCAUGGAGAUAUCGACCUAGCAAGCUGACAUCAGUGAGAGACUGAAUCAAUUCCUGGAAUUUCCUAUCAGUCUUCUUGUCAUUUGAGAUAAUUAAAUGUGUUUAUUGCUUGGACAAUGUUAGAAUUUCUGUAGCUUUUAGUUAAAAGCAGUCCUGACUGAUAUAAUCCUUGUGAAGUCAAUUUUCUUAUUAAAGCAUGUUGUAGAGAUAGUUGAAGUUCUGUAUUAUUUUUUGGCUAUAAUUAUCAUUCUUUUUUAUUUGCAUUGUGAUUUAUUUAAGGAGAAAGAGAAGUGGUUUUGCAGUUCCAGGAACAUUGGAACACACUUUUCCUUCCUUCCUUUCUCCCUCCCUCCCUUCAUUCUUUUCCUCCUUAUUUCCUUCCUGGUUGAAUUAUUAAAAUAAUGCCAGUAAAAUAAAACUCAGUGGGUUAAAUAUCACAUGGUUGAAUUAAUUUAAAUUCAUUUUCAUGUACAAAUGAACAACGAGUAAAACAUCCUAUAUCAAACAAAUAAGUGUACUUUUUCAUCUCAAGAUUAAAGGCUGUGCCACAGUAAAAUAUCAUAUAUAAAGCAGAAUCCUGCCGAUGAUCUAUCCUGAGUUUAAUUUUAUAAUAAUGAGAUAUAAUUAAGUAUAAAGAGGAUAAGAAAGAACUUUCACUCUGACCUGGGUAGUAUUUCUGGUUUUUUUUUUUUUGUUUGUUUGUUUCUUCCUUAUCAUUAUAAAUAAAGUGCUGAAGUUUUGUGCAGUGUUUUGCGUUUUCAGUAUUCUCUUCUGCUAUUAAAAA